rnacentral:rRNA from 1 species
GACGAACGCUGGCGGCGUGCUUAACACAUGCAAGUCGAACGGUGAAGCGCCUUCCUUUUUGGUGGGUGUGGAUGAGUGGCGAACGGGUGAGUAACACGUGAGUAACCUGCCCCCUUCUUCUGGAUAACCGCAUGAAAGUGUGGCUAAUACGGGAUAUUCUGGGUCUGUCGCAUGAUGGGUCUGGGAAAGAUAUUGUUUCGGUGGGGGAUGGGCUCGCGGCCUAUCAGCUUGUUGGUGGGGUGAUGGCCUACCAAGGCGGUGACGGGUAGCCGGCCUGAGAGGGUGGACGGUCACACUGGGACUGAGACACGGACCAGACUGCUACGGGGGGCAGCAGUGGGGAAUAGUGCACAAUGGGCGCAAGCGUGAUGCAGCGACGCCGCGGGAGGGAUGGAGGCCUUCGGGUUGUGAACCUCUUUCGCCAGUGAAGCAGGCCUGCCUCGUUUGUGGGUGGGUUGACGGUAGCUGGAUAAGAAGCGCCGGCUAACUACGUG